UACGGGGGGGGUAAGCGUUGUUCGGAAUUACUGGGCGUAAAGGGCUCGUAGGCGGCCAACUAAGUCGGACGUGAAAUCCCUCAGCUUAACUGGGGAACUGCGUCCGAUACUGGAUGGCUUGGAUUUGGGAGAGGGAUGCGGAAUUCCAGGUGUAGCGGUGAAAUGCGUAGAUAUCUGGAGGAACACCGGUGGCGAAGGCGGCAUCCUGGGCCAACAUUGACGCUGAGGAGCGAAAGCUAGGGGAGCAAACGGG
rnacentral:rRNA from 1 species